UUUUUGCUUGUUUUCUUAUUAUUUCCUCCUAUGUAUUGUGAAUUUAUUUUGCCAGUGUUUUUCUGACUUCUUGAGAUGAUGCCCUACUCAUUCAUCUCCAGCCUUUCUUUAUUUCUUAUACUGGGCAUUUAAGGCAGUAAAUUGCCUUCUAUGUACAGCUUAUCUGCAUCCUAUUAGUUUUUGUUAUGUAUUAUUUCCAUUAUUAUUCAGUUCAAAAUGUAUUCUAAUUUUCACUGUAACAUUUUAUCCAGUGAUUUUUUUUUUUUUUUUGCAAACAUAUGGGAAGUUUCUCUUUUUUUUGCCACACCCAUGGCAUGCCAAGAUUCCUGGGCCAGGGAUCGAAUCCAAGCCACAGCAGCAACCCAAGCUGAUGCAGUGACAACACCAGAUCCUUAACCCACAGGGCCACAAGGGGACCACUUUUCUCUUUCUUUCUUUCUUUCUUUUUUAUUUUUUUCUUUUCCUUUCUAGGGCUGUACCUAGGCUAGGGGUCUAAUCGGAGCUACAGCUACCAGCCUACACCACAGCCACAGCCACACCAGAUCCAAGCCGUGUCUGCAACCUACACCACAGCUCACAGCAAUCCUGGAUCCUUAACCCACUGAGAGAGGCCAAGGAUCAAACCUGCAACCUCAUGGAUCCUAGUUGGGUUCAUUAACCACUGAGCUAUGAAGGGAACUCCUCUCUAUUACUUUCUUAAUGCCCUCUCAGCUUGAUUGAAUUGAAAUGUCGGAGAACAUGAUGUGUAUAUUUAAAAAAAUUGUAUUGUGGAGUUUCCGUCGUGGCGCAGUGGUUAACGAAUCCGACUAGGAACCAUGAGGUUGCGGGUUCGGUCCCUGCCCUUGCUCAGUGGGUUAACGAUCUGCCGUUGCCGUGAGCUGUGGUUCGGAUUAGUUAACCACUGAGCCACAAUGGGAACUCCAAUUACAUUCUUUAUCAAAUCUUGGACAAACCUUGCAUUCUGGAGAAAAUCCCAGCUGGCCAUUGUAUUUUAUACUUUUGUUGUAUUGCUGUGUCCAACUUAACUAGUGUUUUGUAUAGGAUUUUUUCACCUACAUUCAUAGAUAUGAUAUUGUUCCAUAAUUUUUUCUUCUAACAUCUUGGACAUAUAUUUCUAUCAGGGUUAGUCAUUAUCAUAACAUUUGUUGGAGAGUAUUCUCUUCUCUAUUUUCUCAAAGAAUUUAUAUAAGAUUGACAUUGUGUGUUCUAUAAAUGUUGAUGGAAUUCACCAGUGAAGGCAUCUGGAUCUGAAGUUUUCUUUGUAAAGUGGUUUUUAGUUAUGAAUUCAAAUGCUGUAAUAAAUGUACAACUACUCAGAUUUUCUAUUUCUUCUGAGUCUGUUUUGGUGAGUUUUGUUUUUCAAGGCAUUUGUCCAUUUAUUCUAAGUUACCAAAUUUUAUUGACCUAAACUUGUUUAGAAUAUCCUCCUUUUACGAUUUUAAGUAGAAUUUUUCAGCCUCACUACUGUUUAUAUCUGGGCAAGAAAACUGCUGUGGGAGACAGACCUGUGCAGUUGUCGAGUGUUCAGCAAUAACCCUGACUGCUACCCACUGAGUGCUGAUAGUGUGACAACAAAAAAGAUCUCUAGACACAGCCAAAUGCUCUUAGGGACAAAAACAGCUCUGAGAAUCAGUGUUUUAAUGUCUAUGGGAUCUUUAAUGAUCUUUCAUUCUAGGUACUGGUCGUAUGUAUGUACGUAUGUACGUAUGUAUGUAUGUAUGUAUGUAUUUAUGGCUACACCUGCAUCGUAUGGAAGUUGCCAGGCUAGGGACUGAAUCAGAGCUGUAGCUGCCGGCCUAGGCCACAGCCACAGCCACGUCAGAUCUAAGCUACGUCUAUGACCUACACCACAGCUUAGAGCAAUGCCAGAUCCCUAACACACUGAACAAGGCCAGGGAUCCAACCCACAUUGUCAUGGAUACUAGUCAGGUUCGUUACCAUUGAGCCACAACGGGAACUCCCUGUCUCUUUACUUUUUGAUUAAUUUUGUUCAGAGCUCUAUAGCGUACCAAAGUAGGCUCUGCCCGAAAGUGGCCUGUGGAUAAUUUUGCUGACCUUGACUUAGAUCAUUAACUCUUCCUUCUUAAUAAAGGAAUGAAAAAGCUAUAAAAAUUUCCUCUAAGAAUACUUUAUUUAUAUCUCAUAAAUUUUAAAAUGCUGUGCAGUAUUGAUGGAUAUAGGCCCAUUAAUGGCUAUAGAGAACAUUGUUGCAGUUUAGCUAUGAAGAUAACAUAGGGGCAUUAUUGAGUAUUAUUCCAAUGGAACUACUUACAAUGGAUUUUUGGUUGUGUAAGAGACAAGCAAGGAACAAUAUUAAUAUACCAAUAUAAUAAAAUUGUUACAUAAAUAUACUCUCCCAACUAGUUGAUAAAUUGAUAUAAAUUCCUAUAAUCUGGCAGCAAUAUUCUUUUUGCUUUUCUAGCUAAGAAAAGCCAGUCGGCAACAUCCAAGAAUGGUUACUAGGACAAGAAAAUCACAGUGAUUUUACAGCACUUUAUCGAGCAUUGAUUUGCUGCCACCUGCUGGGAGGCAGAAAUGGGUUUCCAGUGUGCUUAAAGGGCAAGAAUGAUGACCCUGGAAGUUGUAAAACUUUGCCUAUCCCAUAAUGAAACAUAACAUAGGCACCCUUGGACCUGAAAGAAAUCACUAAUUCCAGAAUAAAUUAACUGCAUAUAAGGAAAAUAUGAUCUGUGUAUAAAAAUGGGAGUGUAUUCCUUUCUAUCCAAGAGAAAUUAGAUGGCUUAUUUGCAUUUACCAUGAAAUGAUAUAUAAUAAAGUUCCUGAAAAUGGUGAGCUCCUCUGGUACUGACUACAUAUUUGUGUAAAGGUAAGUAACCACCUGACUGGUGCUAAUGGAGAAACUUAAGAACUGAAGAACCACUUCUAAACGAAGAUGAGUAAAAAAUAAAACUAAAUUUGAUAACUGUGAUUGUGAUAGAAUAAUGGCCCC
rnacentral:lncRNA from 1 species